UAUGCUAAGAUGCAAGAGAUAUAAAGAAAGACAAAAAAUAUAGGUAGUCUAAUGCUGUCGAGAGCUUUAUUAGUAUGUUCUUCAUGUUGAUUGAAUGAUUGACUCAAAGAAAGAAAAUGAAAGAUUUAAAAUGAUAUGACAAAAGCAAAGAAGCAGAACUAAUCAUGACCAAAAGAAAAUGACUAAAACAAAAAAAUAACUACUAUGGCUCGGACUCUAGUCAAUAAUGAUAUGUCAUGGAAGAUGUCGGAUAAGUGAUCUGUUUUG
rnacentral:lncRNA from 1 species